UUUUAGAGAAAAAAAUAGAGUAAACCAUUGGAGAUGCAGUAGAGUCACGUGCGGCUUUCUUAAAUCCACAGGCAUUUCCCUAUCUUUCUGAGCUAACCCACACCAUCUUAGUGCUCCUCUCCGAGUUUGAGACGUGGCACUGGAGCAUGUCCAUCAAGAUAAGAAUAAGAUGGCCACACUAAUGGCUGAAAGCGUCACAAAUAUUUAUUGUUAACUUCCAGUGGAGCCUGUCACUUCCAAAAUUUGUUCUGGCUCCAUCACCUCAUUCUUCGGGAAGCUCGUGAUGGCUAAUUAAGGUCUCUCUACCUCUCGAUGUCUCAGUGAGUUUGACGGUCCUUUUUGAUACUGGAAGCUUGGAUCUGUGGGUACCUAAUCCAGGUUGGAGGAGUCGCGAUUGUCUAAAAUAUAUAUCUGGGGAAUCAUCAACUUACAAACAGAAAGGUACGUAUUCCUCUAAUGUUCUCAUUUUUGGCAAUAUCCAUGGAGCAUGAUUAAUGUCAUGAUUAAUGUCUAACUCUAGAUAUUAUAAGAACAUCAACAAAUCUCGCAUAUGGUGAUGAUAAUAAAACUCACGGAUUACCUUAGCAAAGAUGAUGUAACGACUGGUGACAUUCUUUUUCUUUUGUAACUUAGACCGAUGACAUUCUUGUGAAGCAACAAGUAAGACUGAUCUUACAUUUACUUGGAUUGAUUUUAUUCGUUUCUA